rfam:Cicer arietinum chromosome Ca2, whole genome shotgun sequence.
GAGCUGUGACGAAAUACGCACAAAUGUGAAUGAAGGGUCAUUCACUAUCGCCAACUUAUAGGUGAAAAAAUGUGUAUCCGAGCUC